rnacentral:rRNA from 1 species
UACGAAGGGGGCUAGCGUUGCUCGGAAUUACGGGGCGGAAAGCGCGCGUAGGCGGGUCGUUAAGUCGGGGGUGAAAUCCUGGAGCUCAACUCCAGAACUGCCUUCGAUACUGGCGAUCUUGAGUCCGGGAGAGGUGAGUGGAACUCCGAGUGUAGAGGUGAAAUUCGUAGAUAUUCGGAAGAACACCAGUGGCGAAGGCGGCUCACUGGCCCGGUACUGACGCUGAGGUGCGAAAGCGUGGGGAGCAAACAGG